rnacentral:rRNA from 1 species
GCCUAAUACAUGCAAGUCGAGCGAACGGACGAGAAGCUUGCUUCUCUGAUGUUAGCGGCGGACGGGUGAGUAACACGUGGAUAACCUACCUAUAAGACUGGGAUAACUUCGGGAAACCGGAGCUAAUACCGGAUAAUAUUUUGAACCGCAUGGUUCAAAAGUGAAAGACGGUCUUGCUGUCACUUAUAGAUGGAUCCGCGCUGCAUUAGCUAGUUGGUAAGGUAACGGCUUACCAAGGCAACGAUGCAUAGCCGACCUGAGAGGGUGAUCGGCCACACUGGAACUGAGACACGGUCCAGACUCCUACGGGAGGCAGCAGUAGGGAAUCUUCCGCAAUGGGCGAAAGCCUGACGGAGCAACGCCGCGUGAGUGAUGAAGGUCUUCGGAUCGUAAAACUCUGUUAUUAGGGAAGAACAUAUGUGUAAGUAACUGUGCACAUCUUGACGGUACCUAAUCAGAAAGCCACGGCUAACUACGUGCCAGCAGCCGCGGUAAUACGUAGGUGGCAAGCGUUAUCCGGAAUUAUUGGGCGUAAAGCGCGCGUAGGCGGUUUUUUAAGUCUGAUGUGAAAGCCCACGGCUCAACCGUGGAGGGUCAUUGGAAACUGGAAAACUUGAGUGCAGAAGAGGAAAGUGGAAUUCCAUGUGUAGCGGUGAAAUGCGCAGAGAUAUGGAGGAACACCAGUGGCGAAGGCGACUUUCUGGUCUGUAA